rnacentral:rRNA from 1 species
CACACCGCCCGUCACACCAUGGGAGUGGGUUUCCACCAGAAGCAGGUAGCCUAACCGCAAGGAGGGCGCCUACCACGGUGAGAUUCAAUGACUGGGGGUGAAGUCGUAACAAAGGUACCC